AUGGCGUAGAGCACGAAUCUGACCUCAAUUUUAACUAACUCCACAUAUAUAGAAAGAUAUGAGGAGUUGAAUUUUGAGUUGUGUCAACUGAGUUGCUUCGAUUUGACCUCAAAGCAACUAAAUCUUCUUGCCUACAUUGGUAGGACUUCAGACAACCAAAGAUCCAAGAGAAUUGAUGAGAAUUGAGUGAGAAUCGAAGAGAAGAAAAUUUCUAGAAAAUACCUUCAAUGUUGUGCAGAACUUGA
rnacentral:lncRNA from 1 species